rnacentral:rRNA from 1 species
UGGGGAAUAUUGGACAAUGGGGGGAACCCUGAUCCAGCCAUGCCGCGUGUGUGAAGAAGGCCUUAUGGUUGUAAAGCACUUUAAGCGAGGAGGAGGGUACUGGUAUUAAUACUACCAGGUACUGGACGUUACUCGCAGAAUAAGCACCGGCUAACUCUGUGCCAGCAGCCGCGGUAAUACAGAGGGUGCGAGCGUUAAUCGGAUUUACUGGGCGUAAAGCGUGCGUAGGCGGCUAAUUGAGUCGGAUGUGAAAUCCCCGAGCUUAACUUGGGAAUUGCAUUCAAUACUGGUUAGCUAGAGUGUGGGAGAGGAUGGUAGAAUUCCAGGUGUAGCGGUGAAAUGCGUAGAGAUCUGGAGGAAUACCGAUGGCGAAGGCAGCCAUCUGGCCUAACACUGACGCUGAGGUACGAAAGCAUGGGGAGCAAACAGG